UACACGCUGUGACUAGCAUAUCAAUAAGCGGAGGAAAAGAAACUAACAAGGAUUCCCCUAGUAACGGCGAGUGAAGCGGGAAGAGCUCAAAUUUGAAAUCUUAAAGGGUUUCCCUUUACGAAUUGUAGUUUAAAGAAGUGUUUUCUGUUGAGGUUUUGGUAAAAGUUCUUUGGAAUAGGACAUCAUUAGAGGGUGAGAAUCCCGUAUUUGACCUUUACUUUCAACUUUGUGAUACACUUUCAAAGAGUCGGAUUGUUUGGGAAUGCAGUCCAAAAUGGGUGGUAAAUUUCAUCUAAAGCUAAAUAUUGGCGAGAGACCGAUAGCGAACAAGUACCGUGCGGGGAAAGAUGAAAAGAACUUUGAAAAGAGAGUUAAACAGUACGUGAAAUUGUCAAAAGGGAAGCGUUUGACACCAGUGUUGUUUUUCUGAAAAUCAAUUAAAGAACUGUUUAUGCUAAGUUGUUUAGACUUUAUCAGCUAACUGUUUAGUUUUGAGCUUUUCUUUAAUGCACUUUUCAGUUAACAAGUCAACAUCAAUUUCUUUUGCUGUAAAAAAGCUUGAGGAAGGUGGCUUGAGAUUCGUCUUAAGUGUUUAUAGCCUCUUGCCUAUGCAGUCGGAGAGAUUGAGGUCUGCAGCGUAGAUCCUUCGGGGCUAAAUGCAUUUGUGCUAAGUUAUAGCAUUUUAUAGACAACUUGUUGACUAUGAUUUGUCUUGUAGCUUACUCGCUUAUGUUAUUUUACCUACGCUUAGGAUGUUGAAGAUGUAGCACAUCAU
rnacentral:rRNA from 1 species